rnacentral:rRNA from 1 species
AUUGAACGCUGGCGGCGUGCCUAACACAUGCAAGUCGAGCGGUAACAGGUGUAGCAAUACAUGCUGACGAGCGGCGGACGGGUGAGUAACGCUUGGGAAUCUGCCUAUUAGUGGGGGACAACCCGGGGAAACUCGGGCUAAUACCGCAUACGCUCUACGGAGGAAAGCCGGGGACCGCAAGGCCUGGCGCUAAUAGAUGAGCCCAAGUCGGAUUAGCUAGUUGGUAGGGUAANGGCCUACCAAGGCGACGAUCCGUAACUGGUCUGAGAGGACGACCAGUCACACCGGAACUGAGACACGGUCCGGACUCCUACGGGAGGCAGCAGUGGGGAAUAUUGGACAAUGGGCGAAAGCCUGAUCCAGCGACGCCGCGUGGGUGAAGAAGGCCUGCGGGUUGUAAAGCCCUUUCAGUGGGGAAGAAAAGCCUCGACCUAACACGUCGGGGUCUUGACGUAACCCCAUAGAAGAAGCACCGGCUAACUCGGUGCC